UACGGAGGGUGCAAGCGUUAUCCGGAUUCACUGGGUUUAAAGGGUGCGUAGGCGGGUUGGUAAGUCCGUGGUGAAAUCCCCAAGCUUAACUUGGGAACUGCCGUGGAUACUAUCAAUCUUGAAUAUUGUGGAGGUAAGCGGAAUAUGUCAUGUAGCGGUGAAAUGCUUAGAUAUGACAUAGAACACCAAUUGCGUAGGCAGCUUACUACACGAUCAUUGACGCUGAGGCACGAAAGCGUGGGGAGCAAACAGG
rnacentral:rRNA from 1 species